CUCACUCUAUGACAUUUUACAUUCACUGUUUAUAGAUUAUUCCCACACCGACAAUGUGCAUUCGGCUCUUACUAAUGUUUUUACUACUAAAACAUAAAACCUGUAUAAAAAAAAGUCUGAAAACACGAAUGCCCCCGCUUAAAAUUUUCAAUUUUCCAAGUUAUAAAGGGGCAUAAUUGUCCAAAAAAUUACUGCCCAAAUUCUAACUCGGCCUAACUUUGUGUGAUUAUUAACAUUGUGUGUGAAUUUCAAUAAUUUUGGAUAAGGCAAAUUAACGACAGAGUGCGGACACCAAACUAAAUUCAUUAAUAUAACUUGUGACCCGUUAUCACUGAAUUGUUGGGACAAAAACCACUGAAUUCAACACGCCAUUAGUGAUAAUAUUCCUUGUGUUAAAAUGUAAUACAAACGAC
rnacentral:lncRNA from 1 species